rnacentral:rRNA from 1 species
GCUUGCACCUUUCAAGCGAGUGGCGAACGGGUGAGUAACACGUGGAUAACCUGCCUCAAGGCUGGGGAUAACAUUUGGAAACAGAUGCUAAUACCGAAUAAAACUUAGUAUCGCAUGAUACAAAGUUGAAAGGCGCUACGGCGUCACCUAGAGAUGGGUCCGCGGUGCAUUAGUUAGUUGGUGGGGUAAAGGCCUACCAAGACAAUGAUGCAUAGCCGAGUUGAGAGACUGAUCGGCCACAUUGGGACUGAGACACGGCCCAAACUCCUACGGGAGGCUGCAGUAGGGAAUCUUCCACAAUGGGCGAAAGCCUGAUGGAGCAACGCCGCGUGUGUGAUGAAGGCUUUAGGGUCGUAAAGCACUGUUGUAUGGGAAGAAAUGCUAGAAUAGGGAAUGAUUCUAGUUCGACGGUACCAUACCAGAAAGGGACGGCUAAAUACGUGCCAGCAGCCGCGGUAAUACGUAUGUCCCGAGCGUUAUCCGGAUUUAUUGGGCGUAAAGCGAGCGCAGACGGUUGAUUAAGUCUGAUGUGAAAGCCCGGAGCUCAACUCCGGAAUGGCAUUGGAAACUGGUUAACUUGAGUGUUGUAGAGGUAAGUGGAACUCCAUGGGUA